UUGGGCGGAUAUAAAACGGAAGCGUUCUCAUGGCUCCUCUGAACUCUUGUUUGAGUGCUAGCAUGUAUUCGGCCUCUUCGCCCGUCUGCAGGGGCACCGGCUUCUGCUCCAGUGGCUGGAACAUCAAACACAGGAUAUACAGGUGUUGGCUGUAUGCAGGAUGGAGGUAGAUUUUCGCCUUUACCGAUCCCAAUAAUCUCCACAGAGAAGCAUGUGCAUGUCACCGUGGGAACGCUUCUGUCGGAAUCCACUGAAUCAGUUGCCAUAGAAACUGUGUUCAAUAAUAGCUAGUCACUGAAUUAGUAUUUAUGCAGUCUGAGAAUUCUUUCACACCCCCUGCAGAGGGCCUUGAUAUAUAUUUAGCCCCCAAAAUUAAAAAAGGUGUAAAGCCCUGCAAUAUUAUCACACAAUUAUUUGUCUCUGUUGAGGAAGGACAUGCACCUCUGCAGAAUAUGUGGUUUCCUUUUAAAUGUUUGAUUGAACUGAAAUAUUUGGAAGACUAUAGCCUACGAAAGAGACAGGUAACCUAUGAUACUGUACAAUUUCAACUCACCUGCACACGGAGGUCAGAGACACAACAUCUCCACAUAUUAACAUCCCACCUAGCCUGCAUGUAUGUUUCCAUGUGUCACAUGCACAAGAGCCAUAUUUUGUCCAUGUCACCCUUUUUAAUAUUAUCAAAAGACAUUGGAUUUUUAAAUCAAAAAAACGUAUUGUCUUAUAUAUUAAAACAUGUCAAGCAUCACACCAUGACACCCACACCCAGGGGGCGCAACCGAAAAUGAAAAAAAAUGACAUUCAAAUAUUAAAGAAGUUCCCCCUAGUGGAAAGCAGAGAGGCUUAUGUGAAGUGUCAGUCAGUCAGUGGUUGCACAGUGAAGUUGGACCUCGGUGUGUCCGUCCGUGAUCGUGGGAGACUCGCAUCAGCUCACUGCCCACUCCACGCCCCCGCAGAGUCUCCCAAACUCUCGGUCGCAGGAGGAGAGAUGAUGUGGGGGAUGUAAGACACGGGGAUCAGCAGACAGCAGCUGGAUUCUCGGGCUAAAACCAGCCGCUUGGAUGGAGUGAAGACAACAGCUCUAAGCUUGACCGGGAUCUAAGCUGCGAUGUGUCGACAGUGCUGAGGCUGGAGGAGGAGAGGACCAGGGAUUCUGGGAUUCUAGAGGCGGAGAGUGAGACAUCAUGGGUGACGGAGGGGCCUUGCACACAGAGGGCAAUGCCCUUCUGAAAGCUGUUUUCCAAGGCAAACUCCGCCUCGCACGUCUCCUCCUGGAGGGCGGUGCCUACAUCAAUGAAGGGAACGAGCGAGGGGAGACGCCUGUAAUAGCAGCCUGUCUGGCAGGAUAUGAUGAUCAGCAAACCCGGCAGCGAAUGGUGCGGUACCUCCUGGAGAAGGGAGCUGACCCAAAUAUAGCCGAUAAAUCAGGUCGGACUGCCUUGAUGCAUGCGUGUGCAGAACAGGCAGGUAAAGAAGUGGUGUCCCUGCUCCUGGAAAAUGGAGCCGAUCCUAGUUUGAAAGACUACGCUGGGGCCUCUGCGCUCGUACACGCCAUCAAUAAGGGCGAUAGAGAAACUCUCCAGGUCUUAUUAGAUGCUUGCAAAGCCAAGGGAAAAGAGGUGAUCAUUAUAACCACAGAUACAUCUCCCUCUGGCACUAAAAAGACCAAACAAUACCUGAACUCUCCCCCAUCUCCAGGUGUGGUGGACAAAAUCACACCUGCCUGCAUGUCUCCAUCCGAGGUGGAGAUCCACACAUCUGGCUCUGCUCCUGGUGAAGCCGGUAUCUUCAACUUCACUUUGAGCUCGGCGCUCCCUCUACCCUCCAGCAGACCACAGAAUGAGAGGAGACCACCACCCCGCAAACUUCUUAAAAGACUGAAUUCUGAGCCCUGGGGGCUGGUGGCUCCUUCCGUGCUAGCUGAGAGAGUCGAGCGGAUGGAAGGGGAUUUAGCAGAAGAGGAUAAGUUGGUCUCGGAGAUGAACGGGCUGUCAGUUUCAGGUCCAGGCAGACCUCUUCUGUCAAGGAGACACAGCAUAGAAACCCAUGACCCAUCCUCUCCGAAGCUCAUGGAUCGGUCCUGUUCUGAGGACUGUGCAGCGCUGUGCGGUUCAUCCUGGGCUGAUAAAGUCCAUCAACACCAGUCCCUGUAUCGCAGAAACACGGCCCCUGAAACCCAGGACAAUGCGGCACAGGCAACGGCACAGGCCAUACGUGGCCUACAACAUCCCAAACUCACCCGCAUGGAACACUACGAGUCAGACACCCAUCUGUGUCCAACCUCCAUCCCUGGAUCUCCUGAUUCCGGACGCGUCUCUGUGGAGCGUCGCAAAUACAACGCCUCACCCCUGUCCCUCCUCACCAGUUCCUCCCGAGAAUCUCUUGAGAGCAUUCCCAACUCGGUGUCUCCCAUCACGAUGAGGAGACGUCCACCAGGACUGUUGGAACGGCGGGGAUCCGGCACUCUCCUUUUGGAUCACAUCUCCCAUACGCGGCCCGGGUUCCUCCCUCCUCUCAACGUCAACCCCCAGCGACCCAUUCCUGAUAUCCGGGCUAAUGGAAAACCCACCUCUCCGGUUCAUUCCGGAAGCAAGAUCCUGCUGCCGGUCGCCCCUUCAUCUCCAAAACGGCCAGACUUCAAGAUGAAGAAGAAACUGAUAAGGAGACACUCGAUGCAGACGGAGCAAAUGAAGCAGCUUUCGACUUUCCGGGAAAUCCUCACGGAAAAGGUGAUGGAAAUGAACGGAGAUUGAGCGGUAGAGAGGAGAGAGACAGAGAGUCAGUGCUGGCCGUUUCAUCCAUUUCUUCUUUGAGGCACACCUGCUCUAAUUCGACUCCAUACCAUAGUGACAUGAAUGGACUGAGCAUGUGGAACUCAUCGACAACAGCAAUCUUUCUGAAACGAUUGUGAUAUGAACUAACAAUCUCAGUGGUUUCUUUGACUGACUGACUGAAAUCAAGCUCUUUGAAAUGAGGAUGUUAUCUCAGAUUGUUUCGGAUGUUUUCUGAUGUUCUGACGGGAAUCUUGGCAUCUUUUUCUGGAUUCAUUGAUUUUAGCGGUUGUCCUUCAGUGAACAUACAGAAAACUGAGUCACGGGAGUUUGAUUUGUUUCUAGAUAUCUUUGUAUCUACAUAUCUAAAGUAUUUCUAGCUAAAUAUCUAAAGACCUGCUGUACAAAAUAUCUAUUUAAAUGACUUUGAAUUGUGUUCUGGUGUACCUGAGAUGAUGUUAUUAGUGUAAAAGGUUUUUUAGGUGCUGUACACAAUAGACCUCUGUCAUGUGCAGUGUUCUGCUCUCCGUUCACUCAGAAGGGUCACAUUUACACUAUCAACGCAUCAUUUAAAAGAUCAUGGAUUAACUAUUUCUCAUUAUUUUGUAUGUUCAAUGUGAUACACAGGUCAAUUGUAGUAAGCCAAAUAAUUUUAAAAGCUAUUAAA